rnacentral:miRNA from 1 species
GCUGACAACAUGAGGCACAUGCU